UGAGCAAUCUGCCCUUCUCAUCGGAAUAAGCGUUGGAAACGACGUCUAAUGCCGAAUACGACCUCCUUUCACAUGAUCGGAGGUGGAAAGCUCCGGCGGAGAAGGAUGAGCUCGCGGCCUAUCAGCUAGUUGGUGAGGUAACGGCUCACCAAGGCAACGACGGGUAGCUGGUCUGAGAGGAUGGCCAGCCACAUUGGGACUGAGACACGGCCCAGAU
rnacentral:rRNA from 1 species